AUUGAUCUGUUAUCUUUCUUUUUUAAUCAUUUUUGCACAUUUAUGUAGCCAUACCAUAGAUGACAGUCUUCAUAACUAAGAAUACAUGUGUACAAAGCAACUCCAACAACAGAAUAAACAAACAAACACCUUUUUUUUUUAUGUACUUUACAAAUGGAUGCAUGUAGUAUACAAGUAACUCAGCCUUGCUCCUCUCAAACAACUCCAUAAGAUGAAAUGAUGCAAAGAUGAGAAAGAAAAGGAAAGGUUACUUACCAUUUUUUUCUUUCUCAUUUGUGUGUUGAAAAAAGAAAAGAAAAAAAAAGAACAAAAAGAAUAUCCUAAUCCUAACUGUCUAAAUAAACUAAUGCUGCUAUGUACCUGGCAGGCUGGCACUGGAAUCUUCAUUAGGUCUCUCCAGCUUGGCAAGCCAGGCCCUUCCUCACAACAUACAAAUGACAGGUUGGCUUCAUUUCACUAGCCUACACACACAUAAUCUCACCAACUUCCUUUCCCUCAAAGAGUUAGUGGCAAGAUGACUGAACUGAACCCACCAAAAUUUGGGCUUACUUGGACCCAAAAAAAAAAAAGAAGGGAAAAUAGGCAGACUUUCAUAUCUUGCAGUCCACCAUGACCUCCAAACAGAUCAUAGCAGAAGCCUCCCUCUCCAUCAAGGGACUUCCCAUAUGAAAUAUUUUGCUGAAAAAUUUGGCAUUGCAUUUGAUCUUGUAUGAUUGUAUCAUAUGAAGAAGAAAGUCAGGGUCUCCCAUCUACAACCUGCAUCAGUUUUAAUCAGCUUCCACAAUGCAAUCUGAUAUCUUCUUUGACAUAGUUGAGCACAAUGUCAUUAUAGAGCACCAUCCCCCAUGUUCCUCACUCGGAGUUCUACACUUCUUAGAUCACGAAGAUGAUGUAAAAUCUCUUGC
rnacentral:misc_RNA from 1 species